UCUGUUCUUAUCAGUUUAAUAUCUGAUAUGUUCUCUAUCUGAGAACUGUAUAUUAAAUGGAUUUUUGGAACAGGGAGUUGGAUUAGGAGCUUGCUCCAUCCACUCCACGCAUCAGCCCGGUAUUGCAGUACUUCUGGGCAUGGUGCACCUUCC
rnacentral:snRNA from 1 species